UCCCUUCUAUAAAAUGUCAAGUUGGUGUCCUGCCAGGAGAUAACCAACCCUCCUUUUACUCAGUAAGUCACAGACCCCCUCUCCAUGGUUGGGAGCCUCAUGUGGUCUUGCUUCUCAUCUGAAAGCUGCUGCGUCCCAGCUGUGGUCCAGGAGUGUCACCAGCUGAUUUGGUCAUAAACUUCUACUCUCAGUCCCUAGGAUUUCUGUGAAGUGUUGCCUGAUUGUCUGUUCACACUUUGCUCCAGCUUCACUCAGCCAGUACCCACAGAGGGGAUGUGGAGAUCCCAAGUGACUAAUGUCUCUAUAAGGAGAAUGAAGAAAGUGAGCCAAGAGUGACCACCAACUCUGCUAGGCAGCCCACAGCAGGACAUGUUUUGGAAGUCCCAAAGGUAUCUUCGUGGUGGCACACCAAAAACUAGAAGAGAAAUGCAUGAAGCUGCAGCAGCUUGGAGAACAGUUCGCCAAUAGCUACCGGCUCAGCAGAGGACCAGGCUGGGCAACCUUGGGCCACCAAGCAGUCCCUAACUACCUGAUUCCAGGAGGAAUGUAAAGUUGCUAUUAAGAGCAAGAGGAAACUCUUCUGCACUUUUGAAGAAUACUCCUUGGGUUUCAUCACUGCAGAACUGGAACAAGCCAUUGAGUUAAGAUCUACAUCUAAAACACACCCAUGUUGCAAACUGUUCAGAUCUGAUCUACUAUGCUGAGUUAAACAGACAUCCCUCCCUCCAAUAUCUAUUUCUGAAACUCAAAGUAUUUUGUUAGUUUGUAGUUGUUUCCAUCAUCUUUCUCUACUCCCCGAGUGCAACCAAGACUGAAAGCCCAAGAGCCAACAGUCAAAAAGGGCAGUUCUUGGCCCAAGUGACAAUCAACAGGCACUGAAUUUGUUGCGAGACCAAUUAAAUUUCCGACCUGUUUCUGCAGUAGUGAGAGGAUCACAGAAGUCAGCUGGGAAUUUGACAGGGACCUGCACCUAAACAGAAAGAAGCUGUGCUGGAAAUACAGCUAAGCAAGUGCUGUUGGUGUCCCUCCAUUGACGCUGGUGGUACUGAACUUAAAAAAAAAGUGAACUUACAUAAAACCUUUCUGAAAAACUAAAGAUUUUGGAGGCACAGCUGGAGGAGCAAACAAAUGGGGCUUUUCCAUCUCCUCCUCCUCUGAGGAGGAGGACGACACACAGCUCAAGAGCAGCUCUUCCAUCCUGCCCUCUCUCUUCGUGCUGGCAGCCCCACCUGUUGUGAGCCAGGAGUAAUCAGAGAGAUGAACAGCACAAGCGGUAUUUUUACAGGAUGAACCCACCGGGUCAGCUGGAGGCCUGCUGUAACCCAAUAUCGAGUUGUGACUGUGGACAGGCACGAUGCAAGGCUUGGGGGAGGAGGGUGGUGACGGAUGGGUGAAAGGAAAGCAGGGCAAUCCCAAAGGAGGCAAAACUUUGCUCAGGAGACUUCUGUUUCUCUUUGUUGCCCCUGAAAAAUGAAUAGUGGGAAUUGUUGAUGAAUUGUGUGACCUGGGGCUUGUUUAAGGGGGAGGAUAAGGGAAAGUGGUGGGGCAGGGACAGGGGCAAUGAGCAACACUACUCACAGGAACAAAGAGCACAUGUGUACACAGUCACUUUGUGCCCAAUGCACAGGGGAAGGGGGUCACACAGAGGGAUCUGUUUCUUUCAUUCACAUGCUUCUCUCCCCUUUUGUGCAAAGUAAACAGAGACCCAUAUCACUUCAGACUUCCCCCUCCCCACCCCUCCUGGUACCACCAGCACUGGACCAGCCUGUUUCUUCCAGGGAAGCCUAUUGUCUGACCAUGACAGAGCUCCCUUGAUGCCUCUCGUGGGGAGCUGGAGACUUGCUUCUGAAGAGGCUGCCUGGGGAAGAAACACCUGCAAGGAGCCACAGCUGUGGUGCAAGCUGCUCUUCUAAUGCUCUGUUUAGGAUUACAGCACUCCAGAGCAUCACAUUACCCCAGUGGUUGCACUGAAACCUGGUAUUAAUUCACAUUAACAAGGAUCAGAUUUAGCAUGUUGGGAGGGGGAGGGCUGUUAUUAUUGUUUCUAAAACUGCUGGAGCAAAAUCCUGCGACUGAUCUUUCAUUACUUCUGGCAACAGCCAGAGGAGCUUCUUUGUUCCUCUACACCACUGGCCACUUACCCUGUCUCCUCUUGCAUGAAUGCCUCUAAACACAGGCACUGGUUUUCAUGAUGGGGUUACCUGCUCAUUUUUAUUUUUAUGUGCCAAAGCUAGUAAGUUUCAAAGUAGAUUUAUGGAUGUUGUGGGAUUGCUUCAGAUUGCGCUGCAACAGAACAGGGUCUUCCAGUAUGGGGAGGACAGUUACAGUGUCAUGGGCAUCACUUUUUGUCCGAAGAUGGAUUAUCCCAAGAUCAGAAAAAGGGUCUGAGCAGUAAGAACAGUUAAACUCUGGGAUAGAUUUGCGCAAAGAGAGUAUGGAAUCUUCGUUGCUGAGUUAUUUUAAGAAUAUCUGUUGGGUAGAUCUGAUCUUGUCUUUGGGUAGGAACAUGCUACAUUCCCUUCAAGGUCCCUUUCAAUCAAUUUUUUUGAUGCAACCAUUAUAAGGCUAAGGUGACGUUACUUUUCUCACCUGAAAAUUUCUGGUAGGAUACUUUACUGACCUUUCCAUCCCCAUACCUCUUCUUUACUGCGUGUUGCUGAGGCUGUGUAUAUCUGAAGAGUAUAGACAUUCCUCAAGCUUACGGGUUGCACCUACAAUGGUGUGUUUAGUUGUCCAUGAAGGACCUCAUGAUAUCACCCUGGUGUUUUUCCAAGCCAAGGACCAUUCCACAUACAUAUAAUUGAUCCCUGAUUUCAUGUGGUGCUUCUUGAAUCCAAGGGAACAUAAAUACCAGUAGCAACAACCACUGCUCAGUACAGCUAGUGUUAAAUAUCACCUGAAUGUCCUUGUAGAGCCUUGGAAUGAAUGUGAAAAAGGAAGUGAAAAAAAUGAUUUGAACUGAAGCCUGCAGAGCCUGCAAAGCCCAACUGUGUUUGUUUAUUUUAUUUACAGUUUCAGAAUUAUCUUGAAAUGUCAUUAAUAUAAUCUGUGCUACAAAAUUGAGAAACAUACCAAUGCUUAGCUAGAGAGGAGAGGACUAGAACAGUAGAGGCACAGAUGAGACAUGAGGUCUGGUGCUGUAUGCAGUGCCAGGAGCGAAGAAUAAGACUAGUGCAUAAUCUACUGACCCUUGCAUGAUAUUUCUUUGUGUAGAGAAGAGAUUAUUUCUGCCAUUUGUUAGAAUGUCAACCCUGUGCAUGGAAAUCUUCUACAGAUCAUCAAGAUUUGUGAAGCCAGAAGAGGACAUUUGAGUACCAGGUUUCAUCUCCUGUACAAACACAGGCCAUCAAAUUUCAACUUAUUACUUCUCUACUCAGUUAAAUAUUUUGUUCCAGAAAAGCAGUCAGGAGAAAGGAAAUCAACUGCUUUGUGUGGUGCUUCAUUCUGCUUAAGCUGGUGAAUCCUGAUUUCCUUCCCAUGUCGCCCUGAUGUGGUCUCACACUGUCCCGACGGGAACUGUAUGCACUGCAGGGGAUAGUCAAUCUUCAGAGCUCUUACUGGCAUCUCAAGAUCAAAGUACUGUAAGACUGACCAUCCAUCUUAUCUCAUACAUGCCUCGCUGCUGCUCUCACAUGGCAAACAUCUCAGGCAGCUUUGUCAUCAGUCAGUUCGGGAUCAUAUUUAGCAAGUUACAGUGAUGGACUGUCAGAGCCUCUCUCUCUGGAAUCAGCAGUGAAAAGAGGCUGCUGCCUCUGUGUUAGGGCAUCUGUUGUGGCCAGUCAGGAUAUAGUUCUUGAUCUUUAUUCCUCUAGUACAUCUCCUGAGUCAUAAGUAGGUCUCCUGAGCCAUAAGUAGGUCUCCUGCUGAUCUUGUGUUUUUAGCAUUAUUGCUUUCUCUUCCUCCCCGUGCUCCGAUACCUAAAUUUAUUGAUGCUCAUUUUAAUUCUCCUGGAAGAAAAAAAAAGGAAGAAGAAAAUCCUGUUUUCAAUAUACACAUGUUUUUCUGGGGGCUCCCAGCGUUACACUGUUGUGUGUGCAAGCUGAAAGCAACGCUCUGCCAAACUGAUUUAUAUCUUCAACGUGUUAUCACUCUCUGGACAACAUGACUUCAUAUGGAGCAGAAUUAAAGGGCUCCUGAUAAAGUCACAAUGCAGCCUCUCUGUCUUGGAAACUCCAGAUAUUUCUGAGAAACACUGGAAGCAAUUAGGUGACUCCAGGAAAAUCCAAGGAGUUAGAAAACUCUGCUGGGGCUGUCCAAAACUUCGUACCUAACUCCCUGCUCUGCAGACAUGGGGGUUUGGGUAGAAUGGGUAUUUGGAGGGCAUCGAAGGACCAACAGAAGAGGCUUAGUCAUUAGUGGGGAAUAUUUUUUCCUCAGACAGCAUCAGACACAAUAUGGUGUUAAAAUGUGCUGCCUGUUGAUCUUGAUGUGUUUUUGAGAACAGAAAGUAUUUCCAGGACAGGAGGGAGGUUCAGCAGUGAGCACUGAGGGAGCUUUUCUGAUGAGACAUAACCACAGCUCCAGUUGCUCCUGAUCAUCUAAGAUUAUUUGGCAUUUUCUGCAAGAAGAGUGGAUGACCAGCAUCUGGGUGGGAUUCUUGUUAGAUCAGUUGCUCUGCUUCUGCUUUAAUUUUCCGCUUUCCCUGUCAGCCUCAAGCACAUGCAUUUUCUCCUUCCUUUCCUGAGCUUUUGUAAACGUUGCACUGUGAAACAGCUACUUCCACUCCUCCCUACAUUUCAUCAGGGAGCAAAUAUCUCUUUGGUAUGCCUCUUGGCAGGAUUUGCUCAGAAUGAAAGGUGUUGAUGCAUUGUCUCGUACCAAGCAAUACUAACAAACCAAACAAAAAGGAAUGUCUCUAAAGACAGUACACAAAAUAAACUGCUGUAGAAAUAGUGAGCAUCAUCUAAAAAUAAAAUCAGUGAAAAUAAAGUAAAUUUGUUCUUUUCGUUGGGACAUACACAACCAAGUAAGUCGCCUGACUCUGUCAUUACGGCACAGAAAAUCCAACAUCUGUAUAACUGAUGAAAUUUCAUAACCCCCCCUGUGUAACCUUGCUUGAUUUUGACACUUGUGACUUAUGAUAGGUUUAGAGGUCAACCCUGAAGCGUGAGUAUUGUUUCAAUCAUGCUGCUCCCUCUCAUGAAUUACGUUAGCAAGGGCUUGGUCACAGUUAUCUGUGCAACAAAGAAAUAUUGUAGUAGAAGUUGUAGCAUGGUAGGAUAGUUACUGUGGUGAUGUAGUUAAAAUGCCUGGGAGAGAGAUUUUCAUUGUUGAAAAGUCUACGUAAUAAAGUUUAAUGUAGUCCAUGAGACACUUUUUUUCUUAGGAUUUAUGACUGGAGCUUGGUGAAUGAUACAUAUUUUGGUGUGUUCACCAAAAUGGAAUAUCAGAAGGGAAAAACGGCUCAACCAAAAUUAUGAUCUUUGGAGUUCUUGGAUGAAAAGAAAAAGUUGGUUCUGAAUCUGAAUUGUUUCGUUGGACUGAAACUGGAAGGCUUUUUAUAUUUAUUAGUUACUUACACUUUUGAAAAAGUUUUUUUGUUUGUUUAGUUGUUGGUUUUUGUUUGUUUGUUUGUUUUUUCCUGUUGUUGGUUUUAAAUGCAAUGCCUAUUUUUAAUUGCGAAGUGCCAUUUCAAAACCUCUCUAAAAGAUUGGUUUUGAAAAUUUCUGAGAGGUUUUGAAAGAUGUCAACACUGAUAUGCUCCUUGGCCAAAAAUAUUCACCACUCUGCCCAGUUUGGUCAUCUCUUUUAGUUCUACUCUAUCACCAGUUUUCGGCACAUUUAUUGUUGUUAUUAUUAUUAUCAAUAACAACAACAGUAUCACCAAGAUGUGCUUAGAAGGCUUGGGCACGGGUCCCAGAACUGCUAUGACAAAUCUUUUCAACUCUCUGGGCUUCUGUUUCACCUCCCACACUCUUUGGCUCUCUUAUCUAGUCAGAUUUAAAGUCAUAGGGUCAGGAACUCUCAUAUACUGAGCCACUUACAUACACACUGAUGUUUGGAUAAUUGCUUCUCCUGCAGUAGCGUAAAUGGUGGACUUUCUGCUCCAUGAUCUUUCAUCUACCAGACCAUUCUGGAGAACCUGGAAGUGUCUCAGCCUCCUAGGACAGCUAGCUCCAUGGCAGAAAAGGAGGGAACAACAUUGAAUAGGAAAGGGUUUUGUUUGCAUUCUGUGUGCAGAGAUUGAUUUGGUAGUUUGGGGACUGGCUGAAACCAAACUGUGACUAUGAGAACUGCAGACAAUAUUUGCUCAGGUGUGAUUAACUUCUGUGUGAAACAAUGUAGUGUAUGCCCAAAAUACUGGCAAGACCAGCAGGGAUCUGAGGAGUCUGAAUGAAAUAUGAAAUGAAACUGAGAAGAGAAAUUAAAAUGAACCCUUUUUUUGCUUGCUUGUUUUUUGUUUUGACAGAAAGCUUGUUUUGAGUGGCCUUAUUACAUGACAGCCUAUUUCUGAAUGGAAGGGAGAGACAACCUGUACUUUUUUUCCCCACAUCUGUUUCUAUAUUGCUGGCUAGGGAGUAGGUUGGGAAGUCAGAUAGAUGGGAGGGGGAACCAGCAGUAAACAACACACAGAGCAUUAGGACCAGUAUGGAAGCCAGCACUUGCAGCUCACAGAGGUGCUGAUAGAGAACCAGAGCACUUUGGAGGUAAAACGCUGUAUAGAAAGUUUCAGAAAGGACUCAAAGAACCUGCCUCAUAUUGUUUAAUUUCCUUUUAUAUCUGGGCCACCAGGACUUUAUGUAUGUGCUUAGUAAAGCCAUUGAGAUAGCAUCAAAAGAUACCAAACUGCCUCAUAUCCUCCUUCCAUACUAUUUGACCGUUUGGCAACACGCUUGUGCAAGGGGUUUGGACCCUGCUGUGUAACACGCAGUGGAGCAGCAUGCCUUAGCAAGAACCUGCAAGAAGGUAAUGUAGAGCAGGAGAGUCUGUGUUUAAUAGCAGGCAACAGUGUUGAUGUGCCCUGUGUUUCAGGUCUUGUUUUCCUGACUGUGCUUCCCAGAAAACAGGAUUAAAAAUAUAUUUUUUGAUGCCAAACAAUGUGGAGGGGCUAUUUUGAUGGGUUCUGUGACUUAUCCCAGCUGCCUGGAGUGACAGUUUCUGAAUCCUGCUUCCCAUAUUGCCUCAGAAGCACUAGACUCUUAAAAUGAACAGAGCUCAUUUAUAGAUCUUCAGUGCUGGCUUAGUGGAAUAAUAGGGAGGGGGGCUGCCUCUCCAGAAAGGUUGCUGUCCAAGAGGCUGGGAACAGAAGCAGGUUCACUAUGGUGUGAACAAAGGCCUCCAGGCACACUAGAGAGCAUCUGCUCACCAGCUGAUGGUGGUGCACCUGCUGAAAAAGUGCAGCAGUGCUGCUCCCCUCCCUACCCUGCUUUCUGCAGACCCAAGACAUGGUUAUCCACACUUCUCCAUGUGACGUUGCUGGAUGCCAGUCCCAGCACACAGGAGGAACACAUUGCAGGAGGAACAGCAGCUGCUGGGGUCUCUGUCGGGAGCAACGUGGAAACUGAGUCAGAAACUGGUUCUACCACAGGGCUACAUUGUGAGCUUUCAGAUGUUGGCCAUGAUAAAGAGGUUUUAACUGAGCCUUGGUUAAAGCUUCUGCAUCCUUACUGAAGCCCAGACCUAAAUCCUAGUGUGUCAGAGGGUGACUGUUUCUUAAUUUUUACAAUAUUUCUUCUGGGACUGGUCACCAGCCCUGGCAUCAAAAUGGUGAUUUUGAGUUGUAGAAAACUCUUUUGCGGGUUUUGUGCUAAGAGUGACUGAAACUUGCUACCGGCUCAUUUCAACUGCAUCCACCGAACCGUAACACACUACUGCACACAAGUUCAGCAGGAACAUUC